rnacentral:rRNA from 1 species
UGGGGAAUAUUGGACAAUGGGGGCAACCCUGAUCCAGCCAUGCCGCGUGAGUGAUGAAGGCCCUAGGGUUGUAAAGCUCUUUCGCCGGUGAAGAUAAUGACGGUAACCGGUAAAGAAGCACCGGCUAACUCCGUGCCAGCAGCCGCGGUAAUACGGAGGGUGCGAGCGUUAAUCGGAAUUACUGGGCGUAAAGCGCGCGUAGGCGGUUUUGUAAGUCGGAUGUGAAAUCCCCGGGCUUAACCUGGGAACUGCAUUCGAUACUGCUUAACUAGAGUAUGGUAGAGGGAAGUGGAAUUUCCGGUGUAGCGGUGAAAUGCGUAGAUAUCGGAAGGAACACCAGUGGCGAAGGCGACUUCCUGGGCCAAUACUGACGCUGGGGUGCGAAAGCGUGGGGAGCAAACAGGAUUAGAUACCCGCGUAGUCC